CCGAGUUUACAACUCCCAAACCCCCUGUGAACAUACCUAUAUGUUGCCUCGGCGGAUUAAACCCGCGCCCCGUAAAAACGGGAACGGCCCGCCGCAGGAUCCACAAACUCUGUUUUUAUUGUAACUUCUGAGUAACAAAAACAAAUAAAUCAA
rnacentral:misc_RNA from 1 species